CCGUCAGGGCCGGAAGGCAGCAGCGGUAAGCGGUUUGUCUCGGGUGCCACAGGGUUGCCUGGUGGUU
rnacentral:SRP_RNA from 1 species